rnacentral:rRNA from 1 species
GACGUAGGGCGCAAGCGUUGUCCGGAAUUAUUGGGCGUAAAGAGCUCGUAGGCGGUUUGUCGCGUCGAAUGUGAAAACCCGGGGCUCAACCCCGGGCCUGCAUUCGAUACGGGCAGACUAGAGGUAGGUAGGGGAGAUCGGAAUUCCUGGUGUAGCGGUGAAAUGCGCAGAUAUCAGGAGGAACACCGGUGGCGAAGGCGGAUCUCUGGGCCUUACCUGACGCUGAGGAGCGAAAGCGUGGGGAGCAAACAGG